rnacentral:tRNA from 1 species
AAUGAAGUGCCUGAUUGAAAGGGUUAUCUUGAUAGGAUAAAUAAUGUAAUUUGUUACCUUCAUUA